rnacentral:lncRNA from 1 species
AUGUCUGCAUUAGUUAUGAUCACUGGGACAACCCUGAAAAUACACAUCACAGUAACUGCACGCAGCGAUGCCUGCAUGUAUUUGCAGAAUGCAGGGCAGACUUCUAAGGAGCUUGCUCUACCUCGCACACAUCAGCAGAUGUCAAGUGACAAUAUGUCAGCUGUCAACGUUAUGAACUCACUGCUCAUCAGGACACAGAAGAGAGAAGGACUGGAUCCUUCCUUUGCACCAAAGGAUUUGAGAACUAAAUUGUGGAAAAAGCGUAUUACAGAAGUUAAUUUUAUGACAGACACGAACCAGAGGCACAAGCAAAUGUGGCAUGCAGGGCUCGUCCUGGCGAUGCUGACCAGAGCAUCUUUGACCAGUACAACAGUGAACUCAAAGCACACGGCUCAGGAUCUUGAGUGA